rnacentral:lncRNA from 1 species
CCCGGCGCUGGGAGCGGGUGCGGGGCCGCGGCCGCCCGCCAGCCUCCAGUCCGGAGGACGGGCCCCGGGAGCCCCGGAGGCCCGGGUGGCGAGGCCGGAGCAGCCGGGAAGGCCCGGGAGAGGUGGGAAGCGCGCGGUUCCAGACCUUGGAAACGCCGGCCCCGAAGCGUCGGCGAAAACUCUGCCGGACACAGACCCCCUCCCCGGCAUCCUCUUCAUGUCCUCGCCCAUCUUUCCGGCGCCCUGAACCUUCAGAGUCUGGACGCCAGCGAGCAGCAUUGUCUGUCUGUCUGUCUCCCUUGCACUUGUUUCUGAAUCAGAGAUCAGCUGUGUGUGCCCC